rnacentral:ribozyme from 1 species
CCUCUUCUCCUUUUUUUUUUUCCUUUUCUUUUUUUUCUUCUUCUUCUUAAAGAGGG